AAGGAUAAUAUCGGAACCGAUCUUCGGAUCGGGUUGACGUUUUGCGUUCAGUUUUGAAGGUUCACUCCGCAAGGAUUGACUUUCAAACUUGUUCUUUGAAAACUGGAUAGAUCGACAUUGAUUAAGAAACAAGCAUCAAGUAGCGUGAUCGCUUUGCGAUCAACUUAUUUUUUUGACCAUUCAGU
rnacentral:misc_RNA from 1 species